rnacentral:tRNA from 1 species
UCCUUGGUGGCUCAGUUGGUAGAGCAUGAGACUCUUCAUGCCAGGGUCGUGGGUUCGAGCCUCAUGUUGGGCA